CUCCGCAAUGUGUAUUUGGAAGUGAAGUCCGCGAGACUUCACAUUCUAAUGUACAUAAACAUUGACGUUGCCAUAUCGGCUAUGUUUACAUGUUGGUAUGUUACUGCAUAGUGAGCUGAAGCGGUAAGAGUGUUCGUGGAUUUCCGGAUAUGCGAUGCACUAAGUAACAAUCCGACAACGCUGCAUUACCAAUAUUGCCAGUGAACAUCCAGUGAAGGAUAAUGGCGGCCGUUUGUUUACAAUAGUGAAGUAGGCGAAUUUGAGCGUAAUUUGUGGUGAAAGUGAGUUUAUAGUGACUAAAAAAUAUAUACUGAUUGUAACAGAACAAUGCCACGGCAGUGUUUCGUUUGUAAAAUAGUUAGUAACACGAGUUUGAAUUUAUCAUUCCACAGGAUACCAGUUGACCCAAGUAUUAGAAGAAUCUGGUUCUCGAGUGUUGGUUUACCUUUUAAUGCUGAGGAAACUGCUCCUAAACACGCGUUAAUUUGCGCAAAUCAUUUUCUAGAGACAGAUUUUGAGUAUCUGGGCGUCACUAAAAAGAAAGUAUUGAAAAAGGGAGCAAUUCCAAUUGAUACCACUGACAAAGAUUUAAGUAGUUCUGAUUCGACAAGCGUAGAAACGUCAGUAACAUCUCCUAAAUCACAUAAAAGAAGUUACGAUGAAGCUGGUCUUUCAACUCUCAAGUCAUCUAGCAGCAGCACCCUGACCGCAAGUGAAGCUGAGGACGAACUCCGUAAAGAAUCUAAUCUCCUUCAACAUAAGAAUUCAAGUGAAUCUUUGGGGGUACGGUCUCUUCCUUCCUCUGGAACAUUAACAGCUUCUGAGACUAAACGAUUAGUUAGUCAGGAGGUACAUAAAGACUCUGAUCUUUCUCAACAAAAGGAUUCAAGUGAAUCCUUGGGGGUACGGUCUCUUCCUUCCUCUUCAACUUUAACAGCUUCUGAGACUGAAAGAUUACUUACUAAGCAAGUACGUGUCGUUACGACAAGUGAAACCAAAAAAAGAAGAAGAUUUAGUGUGGGAUUUCUGAGUAGCUCAGAUUUUUCAACACCAAGAAAAGCAAAACGACAUUUUCGAAUAAUGAAAAGUAAAUUGCAAUGUCAAAAUAAAAAAGUUAAAGUGUUGCAACAGUCUGUGCGAAGAUUACGGUUACGAGUAAAUUCCUUAAAAUCGCUUGUAGAUGUUUUAAAGGAAAAACGCUUGAUUACUGAAAACGCUGAAUCUACUAUUAUGUCAUCGUUGCCUUCAACUGCUGCGGAUAUUUUUAGACGAAUGUUGAAAGGGCCUACAAAACAGAAAUAUACACCAGCGUUAAGAUCCUUUGCUCUUACGCUUAGCUUUUAUUCACCGAAAGCAUACAACUUUGUUCGACAGACUUUUAAUCGAUCUUUACCGCAUCUUAACACUAUCUCAAAGUGGUAUCAGUCAGUGGAUGGAUCCCCAGGGUGGACAAAAGAAGCGUUAAAUGCUUUAAAAAUAAAAACGAAAGAUGUCGAAUGUAAGAACAAUAAAAUAGUCUGUAACCUUGUGCUCGACGAAAUGUCGAUCAGAAAACAAAUAGAAUGGACUGGAAAAAAAUUUACGGGAUAUGUUGAUAUUGGUACAAAUAUUAGUGCUGAUACACUUCCAGAAGCAAAAGAAGUUCUGGUUUUUAUGCUUGUAAACGUAAAUGGGACAUGGAAAAUACCCAUUGGAUAUUUUCUUCUAAAUGGUUUAUGUGCCAGUGAAAAAGCUUCGCUUGUCAAGUCAUGUCUUCAGUUUGUACAUGAAAGUGGCGUUACUGUAUUAUCAGUUACGUUUGAUGGAGCCCCAGCGAAUUUUCAGAUGGUUCAAAUUUUGGGAGCAGAUUUUGCGGAAUUCAAUUCACUUAAAACGUCGUUUCAACAUCCUAUCACAGAUGAUUUAAUUUUCAUAUUUCCAGAUGCUUGUCAUAUGCUGAAGCUUGUAAGAAAUUGUUUGGCAACAUAUUCAUUAAUUACUGAUGGCGAUGGUGGUAAAAUUGAAUGGAAAUUUCUGGAAAAACUUGUUGAGUUACAGUGUGAAGAAGGUUUACAUGCCGGGACAAAAAUAAGAACUCGUCACAUUAAAUUCGCAAAAGAAAAAAUGAAAGUGAGACUUGCUGCCCAAACCUUGAGCAAGAGUGUGUCUGAUGCUUUAUUAUUUUUAAAAGAAAGCGGGAAAACUGAUUUUAUAGGUGCAGCUGCAACAGCGAAGUUUAUUAAAAUUUUUAAUGAUUUAUUUGAUAUGUUUAACUCAAAAAAUAGACUAGCUAAAUAUUUUUAUAAAAAGCCGCUUUCACCUGUUACCAAAAACGAGUUUUUUAGGUAUUUAAUUGAGAUUAAGGAAUAUAUAAAGCAGUUAAAAAUAAAUAACAGAGCAAUUUUUGCCCUUACAUGUUUUUUAACGCUUAAUUUUAUUUCUCAUAUAACUUCAUAUAUUGAGUUUUUACCGCAUAAAAACUUAUGGUCCAUAUAUUCGCAUAUAAUAUAAUUAUUUAUAUUUUAUAUUUUGUGCAGUUCUUCUUGCGCAAGCGUAAAUGUUUUUAUCCACAAUCACAUUGUAACUGGAGUUUUAUCCACACUUAUGAAGCAUAGAAACUGACCUAUUAUCCACUAGUGGAAUAAAGUAACUUCAUUCCACUUUUGCCACUAGUAAUUAUGACUACCAGACAAAGCUGCAAAGUUUCAUUUUACGAAUACAAACAUUUUUAAUAUAACUUUGAUUAACUCAAAAUUAAUUAAUUUUGUUAAUGUGGUGAUUGUGGAUAAAACGUUGUAUUGCAUUGUGUUUUAGUCGCAUUUUAUCCACUUAAGAAUAUUAAACACUCGGGCUGACGCUCUCAAAUAUUCUUGCGUGGAUAAAAUGUUUUCUACAACACUUUUCUUUUUGCCUUUGCCUACUCUUGUUUUGAUAAAAAUAUACUUACGGAUAAGCAUCGACGUUUAACGAUGGAACAUUUAAAUCAAUUAGUUUUACUUUAUUGUAAUCGUGAAAAUUUAUUCUGUUGUUCCCUGUUCUAAAUUAUUAUUAUUCUAUAUUCUAAGUUAUUUAUUAUUUUAUUAACAUUAUUAGCGCAUAAAAAUCCCAUUCUCCUGUCACUUAAACUUCACUGGUUCUUAAGAUCAUGGAAAACCUAUUCUACGAUCAAAUGAUAAAUUUCCUAGAUCCUCAGCUUAUUAUUCCGAGUCAACUGCACGGAUUUGUGUCUUUUAAGUCAAUUGUUUCUAACUUACUAUCGAUUUUGGGAUUUUACAAUUUUUUGUUUAUUUGCUGGGAUACUCGUAAUUGCUCGUUUAAAAUAACACUCUGUAUGUAUGGAUUAUACAUGUCUUUUUUACAAGAAUAAAAUAAUUACAGUUU